rfam:Felis catus isolate Cinnamon breed Abyssinian chromosome X, whole genome shotgun sequence.
GCCUGGGUGGCUCAGUCGGUUGAGCGUCCGACUUUGGCUCAGGUCAUGAUCUCACGGUCCGUGAGUUCGAGCCCCACGUCGGGCU